UGGGUGGAGUUGCGUCCGCGUCGGUGAUGGGCGGACCGGCGUCGGAGAUGCUGCAGCAGGCUCUCAACAUAGACAUCAAUUCAUGGUACAUCCUGCAUGGAAGUCAGAUAUCAUGCUGGCACACUUACAUUUGGAGCUGCACAAAGAUUCAAACAAACAGUGUAAUCCCUGGUUCUGCAGCUGGGGUGGAGGGACCUGCUUGACACAAGUCUGUUAGCCCUGGAGGAUUGGUCAGGAAAUCCAGGGGUGUUUGUGUCCAGAUGAGCCUAACAUGUUGAAUGUCUGGACCCUCCUCCAAGAGUCGGAAAGGGGAUGUGCAGAUGGAAGGUGGAGGACCUGACCACCACUCCAGUGUGGGACUGGGUGACUCCUGACACCACUCAACAGCAUCUACCCCCCCUCACCACCCAUCUUUAUGAGGAAGGACAGCUAGAAUGUGUGCCUUUGGCCAUGAGGACCAAUUGCUGGAGAGAUGCAAUGCUGGUGUCUGUACCUGAGGGUGCUGGACAUGUGUCUCAAUGGCAUCUGCCCACUUCUGGUGGACUUAUUGAUGUGAGACUGUUGGGGUGGUUCAAGAGACAGAGUGAGGGAAGAUGUUUCUAGCAAUAGUGAGCCUUGGUUGUAGGUGGGUUUUACAAGCAGAGAUAGAGUGAGGUUGAGAAAGCAGAGAAGUUCGUGGCAUUUAAGCUGGUGGCGAGGAGAAAUCUCAUGGCACAGCUGGCCGUUCCUCCAGACCUUGAAGACAGCAAUGACCUGGAUGGCCACCUCGGACCAGGCUGCCAGUUUCUGUGAUAUGGUCUCCAGGUAAAGGAUACAUGGCAGGCCAUAUGGUAUACAUACACACACGCGUCACAAAACUGAGCAAAGCCACUGACUUCUCCACCUCAUACUCCCUUAACGUCUGCUUCUUUUGGAGGCUUCUUUUCUCCAUGAUCAGGAGCCUGUCAUGUUGGAGGUGGAUCUCUUAGUAUCCAGGAUCCAGGCUAUCACAGUCUCCGUUUGCUGCUGGGGCCAAGUCUGCGCUGUGCUCCCCAGAAUGGGGCUCUAAUUCUAGAAAUGACCCCUCAACAGCCGGAUGGGUGUAUCUGAGUUUGUUCAGAAUGUGGGAGAGGUAGGUGCCAGUGCAUCUUCUGAGUCGCUGUUGCUGAGAGGUGAAAAUUUAAUAUCCGAAUGGCUGGUGCCUGGACUCUGUCAGGUUCCAGGUGUCAAGGAGCACAGGACAAUUCCCCAUCUGAUGCUGCGUGCCUACUCAGGCAGCUUUCUCACUCUGUUGACUUUUUCACUCCAGCCUUCCCAUCAACUUCCCUUUUCCCAGUAACCUGGAAGCUUCUUCCUCAGCAAUGCUGAAAAUCUUGAAGUCUGUCUUGCCUUCACCUUUUCCUUCCGGCUCUGGGCCUGCUUAUCAAUGUAUGAGGUUGUAUCCACUCAAGCCAAACUGUCACAUGCUUUGGCCUCAAGUGCCAAGCUGCCCUGAGGCUGAUUACAUAUUCACCUGCCUAAACAUACUUACAUAAACAAGGUUUGAUGCUCACAUUACAGACAGUGCCAUGCCAAUUUGGCCCUUUCCUCAGUAGAUCGGAGGAAGUCAUCGAAUCUCUUCCAGCACUGCCCCAAACAUCUUAGUAGGCCUCAUGGUAGCUGACCACCUUGAUAAUCUUGGUCCAGGGGUUCUGUCAGGUCAUCAGGUGGGUCAUGUGGGUCUCUAGUAUUUGCCUGAGAAGUAGCACUGAAUCAUGGAACUUGUCUUUUAUAGAAUUAUACUUGUGAAACCCUUAGAUGUGAUUGGGGAAGGUGCAAUAGAUUUUAAUGACAGCACAAAUCAUUGAGGAUAAGCUGGAAGGCAGCAGAGGGUUAUGAAGGGCUGUAAAAGCAAAUUGACUUGACUAAUCCACAAAACGUAAAGCCAUGAAAGCCCUGAUGCAGAGACUUCCUGCCUACCCCAGUAAAUACUUUAAAGCCUGCACCAAGCUGCUGGAUUGUUAAUGGGAAUACUCCAAUGGAAAGCCAUCCCAGCCCUAUUCCUGCAUUUGUUUCAAGAGCACACCACUGGCUGUUUAAAUGUAUGUAUGAAACAUGGGGUGGUGGGGCCUGGCUCCUGAUACAAAGGCAAGAAGUGGUGCCCUUCUAUGUUUCCAUCAGGAAUGGCAAGGUCUUCAGCACUUUGUAUCUCACAGGCGGAAUGCAAAGAAUUUAAAACUUAAAUAAGAUGACAGAAUGAAGAAACAAAAAAAAGAAUGGUGAAUGAUGGAAAUCAGAAACAAAAGCAGAAAUUGCUAAAAAAGUUCAGCAGGUCUGGCAGCAUCUGUGGAGAGAGAACAGAGUUAACGUCUCGGGUCCAGUGACCCUUCUUCAGACAUGUACCCCUAGACUUUGGAUACAUAAUCUGCAUAUAAAUUUAAACCUCCAGUUGUAUUCUGGACUGUUACAAAAACCCCAUAGCUGAAAUGAAUUGCAAAUAGGGCGGCACAAUGGUUCAGUGGUUAGCACCGCUGCCUCACAGCACCAGGGAUCUGGGUUUGAUUCCUCCCUGAGGUGACUG